UACGUAGGGCGCAAGCGUUAUCCGGAAUUAUUGGGCGUAAAGAGCUCGUAGGCGGUUUGUCGCGUCUGCCGUGAAAGUCCGGGGCUCAACUCCGGAUCUGCGGUGGGUACGGGCAGACUAGAGUGAUGUAGGGGAGACUGGAAUUCCUGGUGUAGCGGUGAAAUGCGCAGAUAUCAGGAGGAACACCGGUGCGAAGGCGGGUCUCUGGGUAGUAACUGACGCUGAGGUGCGAAAGCGUGGGGAGCAAACAGG
rnacentral:rRNA from 1 species